CUUAAAUAUUCAAACUAUUGGUUAAUUCAUAUUAGCAAACAAUCGCUUUCUGGAUUAGAAAUCUUGCUACUUACAUGCCUAUGAAUUUUCAGGAUAAAUAUACUGUUGAAAUUCUAUGUCUUCAUAUAUACAAAAUGUGGAGAGUGGCUGUAAAAUCAAAACUUACUUAGGACAGAAUUGACUUAAGGAUGUAGAAGAACUCCUUAGUGUUGCUAGUUUUGUUAAUUUUUUUGCAUGUACAGAGAAUAUUUUAUUAGACUUUGACUUUUAAUUAACAGAAUAAAAUACAAACCAAGUGUGUGAUUCACUUUAGGAAUAUGUAUUUUUAUAUAAUUCAUUACAAUUAGAUAAUCAAUAUAAUACACUACAUGUAUCCCAACUUAAUUGGAAGUCUUCAGUAGGAACAAAUUCAACACAGUCCUUUAGAUGCAACUUCUUUUAGGUUGACAGCAACACUUUUUGUUAUAUUUUAUGUCUUGUAAAUUCCAAUAAGUCUAUCUAAAAUCUCAAACAUGUGGUUUCAAAGUGAAAUUAUGAUGAACUGGGCAUUUUUGUUCACAUAGAUACAAUGCAACAAUGGACACAUUUUUAAAAUCAAAGGCUGCAUCAGUUUCAUCCAUGAAGUAAAGGGGAGUGGGUUUGUAAUGAUGGAGAGCAAACUCUAAAGCCAAGGAACAAAGUGUUUUCUCUGCUGCUGAAUGGUUGAAGAUCUUCCAACUUUCCUUAGGUGGUGGAACACUGCGCAGGAUUCCUUCAGAGAAAGGAUCCAAGCUGUCUCUAAGCUCCAGUUCAGCUUCCCCGCCCAAGUCAUCCCACUGUGCUGCCCACUAAGAGCUCACUCCUGCCACCUGCAAUUUGGGCCCUGUCAUCAAAGCUCUCUCAGCAUUUUUAACUGUGUGAAAAGGACAGAUUCCAGAGGAUGAUUUGGGGUUCUUUACAACACACCGUGGAGACAAACACGCAUGGUAGAAAAUCAGAGCUAUUGCCUCCAAGUUUGAUGUAUUCUCUUUCAUUUAUCAUUGUCUUCCAUUUAUCAUCUGUGCCUGUGUUAUAUCUUACAAUAUAAAGACACCUGGGCACACCCUGAUUACCUGGUUCUUGUUUCUUCUUUUCGAAAUAGAAGGAUGAGGAGCUCACCUGUGACCAGAGCACAGUGAAAUGCAAACCUGAGCAAGAGGUCACAGUGUUUCAGCCCCUCCCAACUGUGGCAGCUGAUAGGCAGCAAAGAUGAGAGCCUUCAUCUCCCAAGGCAAGCUAUGAGCAAAGAGAACCUAAAAAGGCAAAACUCGCACUAUAGGUUGUGAUGUAUACACAUCACUAAGUCAGUCACCCCAAGAUAUGCUUUCAUUGUAUGCAGAAAAAUGUCCCUCUUGGAGGAAGCGGGCAGAGUCCUAGACCAGGUGACUGAAGCUAAUGUCAGCUGUCCCAGCACAAAUCAGUGGCAGGUGCUGAUGCACAUCCCCUUGCUGUGAUACUGUGGACCAAAAGCAGGUAAAGCUUAAUCUGAAUCGAAUCGUGGAAGACGUAGGUUCUAUACAAGCUUUGAAACACACCUCUCCCAGGUUCUGUAGUCUCCAAAUAUAUUUUUAAGAUGUAUUUAUUUGAAAGAGUUACACAGAGAGAGAAGGAGAGACAGAGAGAGGUCUUCCUUCUACUGUUUCACUCCCCGUUGGCCACAAUGGCUGGAGCUGGGCCAAUCUGAAGCCAGGAGCCAGGAGCUUCUUCCAGGUCUCCCACAUCUCCCACAUGGGUGCAGGGGCCUAAGGUCUUGGGCCAUCUUCUACAGUUUUCCCAGGCCAUAGCAGAGAGCUGGAUCAGAAGUGGAGCAGCCGGGACUCGAACUGGCAUCCCUAUGGGAUGCAGGCACUGCAGGCAGUGGCUUUACCCACUAUGCCACAGCAAUGGACCCUUGAACAGAGAAUA
ensembl:lncRNA